rnacentral:rRNA from 1 species
GAUACCCCUGUAGUCCUGGCCGUAAACGAUGAACACUAGGUGUCGGGGGAAUCGACCCCCUCGGUGUCGUAGCCAACGCGUUAAGUGUUCCGCCUGGGGAGUACGCACGCAAGUGUGAAACUCAAAGGAAUUGACGGGGGCCCGCACAAGCGGUGGAGUAUGUGGUUUAAUUCGAUGCAACGCGAAGAACCUUACCAGGGUUUGACAUCCUGCGAAUCCCUUGGAAACUUGGGAGUGCCUUCGGGAGCGCAGUGACAGGUGGUGCAUGGCUGUCGUCAGCUCGUGUCGUGAGAUGUUGGGUUAAGUCCCGCAACGAGCGCAACCCACGUCUUUAGUUGCCAGCAUUUAGUUGGGCACUCUAGAGAGACUGCCGGUGAUAAACCGGAGGAAGGUGUGGAUGACGUCAAGUCAUCAUGCCCCUUACAUCCUGGGCUACACACGUACUACAAUGCUACGGACAAAGGGCAGCAAACUCGCGAGAGCUAGCAAAUCCCAUAAACCGUGGCUCAGUUCAGAUCGUAGGCUGCAACUCGCCUACGUGAAGGAGGAAUCGCUAGUAAUCGCAGGUCAGCAUACUGCGGUGAAUACGUUCCCGGGCCUUGUACACACCGCCCGUCACACCAUGGAAGUUGGCCACGCCCGAAGUCGUUACUCCAACCCUUGCGGAGGAGGAUGCCGAAGGUGGGGCUGAUGACUGGGGUGAAGUCGUAACAAGGUAGCCGUACCGGAAGGUGC